rnacentral:lncRNA from 1 species
ACAGAGCUACAAGCUACAUGUCCCUGGCCCCUCUCCCUAGGAGCACAGAGUUCCAGUGAAGAACCUAAAGCACAAACACUGACAGCUGUAAGAUGAGGAAACAGAAGCUGGGAUAUGUGAGUAAACAUUUCCAAGGUCCUGCAGCUAAUCAAUGGUUGACAACUUCUUUCCUCUGCCUAUGUUGCCAUCCAUGUCAUGGUUUGUGUCAAGACUCUAGGAGAAGUCUACCAUCAGCACCACAGCUACUGUGCACAAAUCCAGAAUGCCAGACUGAAGUCAGAAGGAAAGAUCCUUUAUAUAUUGAAAGAAGAAAGUAGAACCAUUUCUGGGUCCCAGCUGUGGGAAGAGCUCCUGUGGCUGUGAAUUCUGACUUCUGGGUCUUGGCACAAGGUGUGGCCAGCAAGCUAAGCUGUCCUGAGGGUGUGCAGGGCCAGGGGCUGAAGACAGUGUUGGAGCAUCCACAGACUGGUUUGUCUCAAGAAGCAUGUUACUAAAUAUGAAAUAGCAAAAUCUGCAAGUGGGUUUACUUUUCCCCCAUAGAUUAGAAUGGAUUCAAUAUUAUCUCUUUAUUAGCGUCACUUUUAAUCACUUGUAUAACAAGUAGGACAGAAAGGUGGCUUGAAAGUCAAUCAUGUGAGAAUUCCAGAUAAAUUGACUUUGCUCACAACAAUCUGUUAUUCAUGUGACUAUCAACUGUCAUGUGUGCUGGGGCAAAAAAAGAAGAUAAGGAUUCACUGGUAUCAGAUAGUUCCAGGAGGGGAAACCCAGGAUUGAACUUUUUCAGCCUUCUAUGGUAAAAUUUCCUGCUCUGUCGGUGCGCCAAAGCUUUUUUCAGUUUCCUAAACUCCCAUAUUCAAGAAGAUAAGCUAUUUUCUCUUCUUUCUCAUCCUUCCUUGACAAAGCAAAGCAUAUUUUCAUUGUCUACUCUGUGUCAUCCAUGCUUGGUUCCUGUCCUCAAAGAGCUUAUAGUUCAAAUAAAGGAGAGGGAGCAUUUUACAAGGGAAUUAAAGGUAAAAGAUUCUGAAAGCCAGUUUAAAAAGUCGUGAGGGAGGGGUCUGGGAGAAGCUGAGCAGGGGUGAAAGGGUACGAAACAUUAUGGAAGGAGAACAGGGGAGCACCCUGACUACUGGGUGGAAACACCAAUCAGUGGGUAGAAACCACACAGUGGUAACACUGAUCAGUGGGUAGAAAACAAUGACAGCAGGUAUAUGAGGCAUGGAACACUUGGCUUAUUGUAAAGUUUUCAAAAUAUGCAGUCCUUUCUAUCCACCAGGGGUUGGGAGUUGUCUUUGUAUAUCAACCGUGGAAGGGCUGUUUUGGUUCAUCAUUCUGUGGUCUACCUGGGUAGACCUGAUGCAGCCGUGUUUCUGAGGAAAGGAAGAACAGCUUUUGUUUUGUGAUAUGUAAUGGUAGAUGUAGUGCCAUGGAAUGAUGCAGAUUUCAUUCAGAUAUUCUUGGAUCUUGGCCCCAGGACUCACUCAUUCUUCCCUAUAUGAGCAUUGGUAGUUACAGGUUUUAUCCUUCCUUUAAUUGUAAGUCUUUUGAAGCCAAAAACUGUAUCCAAUUUGUCACUGUCUCCUAACAGUACUUAGCAGUGUCUGAUGCAUCAUAGGGAGUUUGUAAAUGUUUGGAUAAAUAAAGGGAAAACAAAAACAACCACAAAAAAACCUUUAUUUUGCUUUAAUAAAAAUAUUUUAACUAGUU